rnacentral:rRNA from 1 species
AGAACGAACGCUGGCGGCGUGGAUAAGACAUGCAAGUCGAACGAGAUCUCCGGAUAGCUUGCUAACUGGAGUGAAAGUGGCGGACGGGGGCGUAACACGUGAGAAACCUGCCCUAAAGUUCGGGAUAGCCCUACGAAAGUAGGAUUAAUACCGAAUGUGGCCAAGGAAGGGCAUCUUCCCUUGGCUAAAGCUCGGUUAUAGAGCGCUUUUGGAUGGUCUCGCGGUCUAUCAGCUUGUUGGGGAGGUAACGGCUCACCAAGGCGAUGACGGGUAGCUGGUCUGAGAGGACGAUCAGCCUCACUGGAACUGAGACACGGUCCAGACACCUACGGGUGGCAGCAGUCGAGAAUCAUUCACAAUGGGCGCAAGCCUGAUGGUGCGACGCCGCGUGGGGGAUGAAGGGCUUCGGUUCGUAAACCCCUGUCAUCUGUGAGUAAGGCUCCCAAUAAAAGCUUGGGAGAUUGAUAUCAGCAGAAGAGGAAGGGACGGCUAACUCAGUGCCAGCAGCCGCGGUAAUACUGAGGUCCCAAGCGUUGUUCGGAUUUACUGGGCGUAAAGGGUGCGUAGGCGGCUAUAAAAGUUUGGUGUGAAAUCUCCGGGCUCAACCCGGAAACUGCAUUGAAAACUAGAUAGCUAGAGGAUCGGAGAGGAGAUUGGAAUUCUCAGUGUAGCAGUGAAAUGCGUAGAUAUUGAGAGGAACACCAGUUGCGAAGGCGGAUCUCUGGACGGUUCCUGACGCUGAGGCACGAAAGCUGGGGUAGCGAAGAGGAUUAGAUACCCUCGUAGUCCCAGCCGUAAACGAUGUGUGCUAGACGUUGGGAAUUUAAUUCUCAGUGUCGCAGCAAAAGCGUUAAGCACACCGCCUGGGGAGUACGACCGCAAGGUUAAA